AAAUUCAUAAUUUGACAAUAUCGUAACCAAUGAGGUUUAACCGAGGUGCGAUUAUUACUAGUUGAAAACUUAUACGAAUAUUUACUCAUAUAGACUUACAUAAAUAGCCAUAUAUGCAGGAACAAACUUUC
rnacentral:snRNA from 1 species